rnacentral:rRNA from 1 species
AUUGAACGCUGGCGGCAGGCCUAACACAUGCAAGUCGAGCGAGCGGCGGACGGGUGAGUAAUGUAUGGGGAUCUGCCCGAUAGAGGGGGAUAACUACUGGAAACGGUAGCCAAUACCGCAUACUAUCGGAUGAACCCAUAUGGGAUUAGCUAGUAGGUGAGGUAAUGGCUCACCUAGGCGACGAUCACUAGCUGGUCUGAGAGGAUGAUCAGCCAGUCUGUGACUGAGACCCGGCCCAGACUCCGACGGGAGGCAGCAGUGGGGAAUAUUGCACAAUGGGCACAAGCCUGAGGCAGCCAUGCCGCGUGUAUGAAGAAUGCCUGCGGGUUGUAAAGUACUUUCAGCGGGGAGGCGUUACCCGCAGAAGAAGCACCGGCUAACUCCGUGCCAGCAGCCGCGGUAAUU